rnacentral:rRNA from 1 species
AGUGGGGAAUAUUGGACAAUGGGCGCAAGCCUGAUCCAGCCAUGCCGCGUGUGUGAAGAAGGCCUUCGGGUUGUAAAGCACUUUCAGUGGGGAAGAAAGCCUUGCGGUUAAUACCCGUGAGGAAGGACAUCACCCACAGAAGAAGCACCGGCUAACUCCGUGCCAGCAGCCGCGGUAAUACGGAGGGUGCGAGCGUUAAUCGGAAUUACUGGGCGUAAAGCGCGCGUAGGUGGCUUGAUAAGCCGGUUGUGAAAGCCCCGGGCUCAACCUGGGAACGGCAUCCGGAACUGUCAGGCUAGAGUGCAGGAGAGGAAGGUAGAAUUCCCGGUGUAGCGGUGAAAUGCGUAGAGAUCGGGAGGAAUACCAGUGGCGAAGGCGGCCUUCUGGACUGACACUGACACUGAGGUGCGAAAGCGUGGGUAGCAAACAGGAUUAGAUACCCUGGUAGUCCACGCCGUAAACGAUGUCGACUAGCCGUUGGGUCCUUCGCGGACUUUGUGGCGCAGUUAACGCGAUAAGUCGACCGCCUGGGGAGUACGGCCGCAAGGUUA